AUUGAACGCUGGCGGCAUGCCUAACACAUGCAAGUCGAACGGCAGCACGGGAGCUUGCUCCUGGUGGCGAGUGGCGGACGGGUGAGUAAUGCAUAGGAAUCUGCCCAGUAGCGGGGGACAACUUGGGGAAACUCAAGCUAAUACCGCAUACGCCCUACGGGGAAAGCGGGGGACCGUUCGGGCCGUCGCACUAUUGGAUGAGCCUAUGUCAGAUUAGCUUGUUGGUGGGGUAAAGGCCGUACCAAGGCGACGAUCUGUAGCUGGUCUGAGAGGACGAUCAGCCACACUGGGACUGAGACACGGCCCAGACUCCUACGGGAGGCAGCAGUGGGGAAUAUUGCACAAUGGCGAAAGCCUGAUGCAGCAAUGCCGCGUGUGUGAAGAAGGCCCUGCGGGUUUGUAAAAGCACUUUUCAGUAGGGAGGAAACAGUAGCCGGUUAAUAUCCGGUUGCCUUGACGUUACCUACAGAAGAAGCACCCGGUCUAAACU
rnacentral:rRNA from 1 species